rnacentral:rRNA from 1 species
UUAAAUUUUUCAAGUUAUUUUAGCUUUCUUGUUGGGUGAAAUCAGUAUAAAGAGUUUCUCUUUCUUUUAAAAUUAAUAGGAAUUAAAAAACUUUGAUUUAAAACCAGGAUUAGAUACCCUGUUAUUCUAAGUUAUAUUUAGACAGGGUAGUAAAAGUCGUUCUUCAAACCCAAAGAUUUUGGCGGCACUUUAUCCAAAUAGAGGAGCUUGCUCCUUAAUCGAUAGUCCCCGUUUUAUCUUUCCUCUGUUUGUAGAGCUUGUAUACCGCCGUUGCCAGAUUACUUUUAGAGAAUGUUUUCAAGUUAAAAGACUUUUUUACUUCAGGUCAAGGUGCAGUUUAUAUAGAGGUGGAGGUGAGCUACAAUUUUCUUUAGAAAUACGGAUUCCAAGCCUCGAAGUUGGUUGAAGGUGGAUUUAUUAGUAAAGUAA